UACGAAGGGGGCUAGCGUUGCUCGGAAUCACUGGGCGUAAAGGGUGCGUAGGCGGGUUUCUAAGUCAGAGGUGAAAGCCUGGAGCUCAACUCCAGAACUUCCUUUGAUACUGGAAGUCUUGAGUUCGGGAGAGGUGAGUGGAACUGCGAGUGUAGAGGUGAAAUUCGUAGAUAUUCGCAAGAACACCAGUGGCGAAGGCGGCUCACUGGCCCGAUACUGACGCUGAGGCACGAAAGCGUGGGGAGCAAACAGG
rnacentral:rRNA from 1 species